rnacentral:rRNA from 1 species
AGCGUACACGGUGGAUGCCCUGGCAGUCAGAGGCGAUGAAGGACGUGCUAAUCUGCGAAAAGCGUCGGUAAGGUGAUAUGAACCGUUAUAGCCGGCGAUGUCCGAAUGGGGAAACCCAGUGCAAUUCGUUGCACUAUCGUUUGAUGAAUACAUAGUCAAACGAGGCGAACCGGGGGAACUGAAACAUCUAAGUACCCCGAGGAAAAGAAAUCAACCGAGAUUCCCCCAGUAGCGGCGAGCGAACGGGGAGCAGCCCGGAGUCUGAAUCAGCUUGUGUGUUAGUGGAAGCGUCUGGAAAGUCGCAGGGUACAGGGUGAUACUCCCGUACACUAAAGCACACAGGUUGUGAACUCGAAGAGUAGGGCGGGACACGUGGUAUCCUGUCUGAAUAUGGGGGGACCAUCCUCCAAGGCUAAAUACUCCUGACUGACCGAUAGUGAACCAGUACCGUGAGGGAAAGGCGAAAAGAACCCCGGCGAGGGGAGUGAAAAAGAACCUGAAACCGUGUACGUACAAGCAGUAGGAGCCUCUUUAUGGGGUGACUGCGUACCUUUUGUAUAAUGGGUCAGCGACUUAUAUUCUGUAGCAAGGUUAACCGUAUAGGGGAGCCGCAGGGAAACCGAGUCUUAACUGGGCGUUAAGUUGCAGGGUAUAGACCCGAAACCCGGUGAUCUAGCCAUGGGCAGGUUGAAGGUUGGGUAACACUAACUGGAGGACCGAACCGACUAAUGUUGAAAAAUUAGCGGAUGACUUGUGGCUGGGGGUGAAAGGCCAAUCAAACCGGGAGAUAGCUGGUUCUCCCCGAAAGCUAUUUAGGUAGCGCCUCGUGAACUCAUCUUCGGGGGUAGAGCACUGUUUCGGCUAGGGGGUCAUCCCGACUUACCAACCCGAUGCAAACUACGAAUACCGAAGAAUGUUAUCACGGGAGACACACGGCGGGUGCUAACGUCCGUCGUGAAGAGGGAAACAACCCAGACCGCCAGCUAAGGUCCCAAAGUCAUGGUUAAGUGGGAAACGAUGUGGGAAGGCCCAGACAGCCAGGAUGUUGGCUUAGAAGCAGCCAUCAUUUAAAGAAAGCGUAAUAGCUCACUGGUCGAGUCGGCCUGCGCGGAAGAUGUAACGGGGCUAAACCAUGCACCGAAGCUGCGGCAGCGACACUAUGUGUUGUUGGGUAGGGGAGCGUUCUGUAAGCCGUUGAAGGUGGCCUGUGAGGGUUGCUGGAGGUAUCAGAAGUGCGAAUGCUGACAUAAGUAACGAUAAUGCGGGUGAAAAACCCGCACGCCGGAAGACCAAGGGUUCCUGUCCAACGUUAAUCGGGGCAGGGUGAGUCGACCCCUAAGGCGAGGCCGAAAGGCGUAGUCGAUGGGAAACAGGUUAAUAUUCCUGUACUCGGUGUUACUGCGAAGGGGGGACGGAGAAGGCUAUGUUGGCCGGGCGACGGUUGUCCCGGUUUAAGCAUGUAGGCGGAUGUUCCAGGUAAAUCCGGAACGUUAUUAACGCUGAGGUGUGAUGACGAGGCACUACGGUGCUGAAGUGACAAAUGCCCUGCUUCCAGGAAAAGCCUCUAAGCAUCAGGUAACAUCAAAUCGUACCCCAAACCGACACAGGUGGUCAGGUAGAGAAUACCAAGGCGCUUGAGAGAACUCGGGUGAAGGAACUAGGCAAAAUGGUGCCGUAACUUCGGGAGAAGGCACGCUGAUAUGUAGGUGAAGUGGUUUACCCAUGGAGCUGAAAUCAGUCGAAGAUACCAGCUGGCUGCAACUGUUUAUUAAAAACACAGCACUGUGCAAACACGAAAGUGGACGUAUACGGUGUGACGCCUGCCCGGUGCCGGAAGGUUAAUUGAUGGGGUUAUCCGUAAGGAGAAGCUCUUGAUCGAAGCCCCGGUAAACGGCGGCCGUAACUAUAACGGUCCUAAGGUAGCGAAAUUCCUUGUCGGGUAAGUUCCGACCUGCACGAAUGGCGUAAUGAUGGCCAGGCUGUCUCCACCCGAGACUCAGUGAAAUUGAACUCGCUGUGAAGAUGCAGUGUACCCGCGGCAAGACGGAAAGACCCCGUGAACCUUUACUAUAGCUUGACACUGAACACUGGUCCUUGAUGUGUAGGAUAGGUGGGAGGCUUUGA